CCUACGGGAGGCAGCAGUGAGGAAUAUUGGUCAAUGGACGAGAGUCUGAACCAGCCAAGUAGCGUGAAGGAUGACUGCCCUAUGGGUUGUAAACUUCUUUUAUAAAGGAAUAAAACGGGGCACGUGUGCCUUUUUGCAUGUACUUUAUGAAUAAGGAUCGGCUAAUUCCGUGCCAGCAGCCGCGGUAAUACGGAGGGUCCGAGCGUUAUCCGGAUUUAUUGGGUUUAAAGGGAGCGUAGAUGGGUUGUUAAGUCAGUUGUGAAAGUUUGCGGCUCAACCGUAAAAUUGCAGUUGAUACUGGCAGUCUUGAGUACGGGUGAGGUAGGCGGAAUUCGUGGUGUAGCGGUGAAAUGCUUAGAUAUCACGAAGAACCCCGAUUGCGAAGGCAGCUUACUAAACUGUUACUGACAUUGAUGCUCGAAAGUGUGGGUAUCGAACAGGAUUAGAUACCCCAGUAGUC
rnacentral:rRNA from 1 species